AACGCAUCUUGCGCUCUUUGGUAUUCCGAAGAGCAUGCCUGUUUGAGUGUCAUGAAACUCUCACCUCCAGCCUUCUUUAAUUAGAGGUGUUGGGGCGUGGACGUGAGUGCUGCUGGUGCCCUAGUUGCAUCGGCUCACUUGAAAUAAAUUAGCUGAAUCCUCUAGAGGUGGUUCUACUCGACGUGAUAAGAUCUCCGUCGAGGACAGUGCAACUUGUUGUGCUGGCCGCCGCUAGCUGUUGAUACGCUUCUAAUUAGCGCAGACUUCGAGUGCUGGCAACUUUUGACAACUUGGCCUCAAAUCAGGUAGGACUACCCACUGAACUUAA
rnacentral:misc_RNA from 1 species